UUUUAUGGUCUUGUUCACUUUAUAGAUCACUCACUCAGGUAUACAGGUGUCACAGUUCAGUUGUGAGGAUUUCCAGAAACAGGAAAGAAACUGUUCUUCCUGCUGCUGCUUCUGAUCUGCUCACAAAUCAGAUGGAGGCAGAUAAAGAUAGAGAUACUGCUAACCAGCACAUCGCACUCCAGCAACCCUAUCCUCAGGACAUCCACGCUGUGCUGAGAGAGCUGACCGCCGCAUUGGCUGAACAGAGGGUGAAGAUUGCAUUCCUAGAAAAAGAGAAUCAAGACCAUGUGACAAAACUGAAAGAACUGGAAAAAAAGGAGAUUGAGACUGACAAGAAGUUGCAGCAGCUACAAGGUACUGCAUGGAAACACCUUCAAACAGGUGGCUUUCUCAGCCUCUCUGCUGGAUCAAGGCCAUGGAGACAUUGGACCCUUUAACAGUCAGAUUACUCUGAUCUUCAAACAUGUUGUCACAAACAUUGGAAAUGCCUACAACCCACACACAGGUAUUUUCACUGCACCAGUGAGAGGAGUCUACCACUUUGAGUGGAGCUUAUAUGGAUAUGGAAACAUUGGUACAGGUGGUGUGUUGUUCAGGAAUGGAGAGAACAUUUUUCUUGCAUAUGAACAACAAACAUCUGGCGGUGUGAGCGCCUCUAAUGGAGCCUCACUGCUUCUAGAGGUUGGAGAUCAGGUGUCUGUACGUCUCUGGGCUGGUGCAAGGAUACAUGACAAUCAAAACCAUCAAACCACUUUCAGCGGUCAUCUGAUCUUCACCAUGUGAGAGGUGUGACAGCUCCAACAUUUCCUGUUUGGACUGUCCUGUGUGGGCAGAGCUUGCGAUUUUUAGAAGUAAAACAGGAAGUAAAUCACCUGCUGGUUUUGUGUUUAUUUGUUUCUGCUUCUCCUCUGAUUCCACUGACUCAGAUAAUUUACUUCUUCUUCUUAUCUUUGAUUCAAAUAAAUCCAGUUAAAUGUUCA